ACUCACCAUCAGACGGCUGUUCACACAGGAGACAUGGGACCGUGGAGUCACCGAGGGGGGGAAACUCUUCUCCACAACAACUCUAACCGACCCGAGGAGCUCAUAUCCCGCUGAACAUCCUUUAAUGGACGCUCUUCUUCUUCCACUGUGUUUCUAAUUCCCACCAGGACCACCGGAAGACACGCAACUUAAAUGACAACUGAAGUUAUCCGUUCAUUUUGGAUACCUAGGGCAAAGUGCCACACCUUCGCUUAGCGCAACAGCUCCACAACACAGCUGGCCAAAUGGGGUGCCAAUGCUGCAGGAUGAUAAAAAGCUACAUCUAUGACCCCUCUGUGGCAGGAGAUGUGAGGAAGUCUGACUCUGCCGGCAGCUCGCUCUACCAUCCCCACCACCUCUCAGGCGGGGCCCUCAGCGGUGACCCGCUCGGCAGCCCCAACAAGCAGAAACAGGGCUUCAACAACCUGGGCUACAGCAAGUCCAACGACAGCACGCUGAAGCUAGAGGUGGACAACAACCACGUCAACCACAGGCUGCACGCCGCACCUUCACCUGCAACGGAGCUGCACAGGCAGGCGAGCGCGCCACCUGUAGAUGGAGGUCUGUACAUCAUCCAGCCGCAAGCUCUGGGGCCGAGAUGGGUGAGUCAGGUUCCCGUUUACCCAGACAUACAGGACUACGAGAACCAGAGGAGCUACGGCGAGCGGGUACGCGGUGUGACGAGGAACGAGUGGGACAGCUCCAUCACAGAGUGUGCGAUCGGCAGUGAAAGCCUGUCAGCAGACGAGGUGGACGAGGGCGUGGGAGGGACGCCGGAGUACCCGUGUGAUACGGGGGACGAGGGUAGCAUCCUGUCAGUGGACAUCCACACCAGCACCACCAGCCUGUCGUCAGUCGACACCAGGGAGGAGCUCAGACUGCCAAAGACUCCGGACGUUUCCACCGUAGAGAGUGGGAUCUCUGUGACAAAGAGUGACGACGACGAGGUGGAGGCAAGGAACCAGGAGGAGGAGGUGCAGAGCGUUACGGACUCGAUGGUGGCGGAGGCUCUCGCUGCUUUGGAGGCCGCCACCGCCGGCGAGGAAUUUGAGUAACGGACCUCUGCGGUGCCUCUCAGUUAUCACCAAAAAAACUCUUGAUAGAGCGUUCAUGAAACUUUGUUGUGUUUUCAUCAAAGAACAUGAAGCGAAUGAAGGAAAACUGUUUACAAAAAGAUUUAUUUUUGAACUCAAAAUCUUGGAUAUUUUUUUAUUCUGUUCACACUGACAGAAGAUAACGUGUGUGAAGGAGGCAACUUUUCCAAUGCCACAAAUUGAAAAGAUGUGUGAAUAUCGCCUGCAGCCAUAUCAGCCUGUUAUGAAUCCAGCGUAUUUAACACUCCACAGUCCUCAUAAGCCUGUGUGUGCUCACUCACUGCUCUGCCAUGUCCAUACUGCCCAUGUACAGUCACCAGAGGUUGCUUUUAUCAUAUUAGCCUCAUUUUGGAGCAUAGCUAUGCUAAAGCGGGAUUUAUACUUGUGCGGCAGGCCCUACGCCAAGCCUACGCAAGUGGCCUACACUGUUGUGAGCAUUUAUACUUGUGCGGUGGUGGUGUCUGUGUCACUCUGCAGUUAUACUUUCACAACGCUAGUUGGCAGUGGAGGUUUCUGUGAAGAGCUGUAAAGUUUAGUUGAUUCAAAACACACAUUAAACACACAUUAAACAUGGCUUAAUAGAGACAAUUUCAAACACAAGUACACAAAUCAGCUUCACUAUAACUCGCAGCAUUCACAGACAAACACUUGUCUUUAUCUGGACACAUUUUCCCCACAAAUACAACAUGCUAAUGUUAUUAGCAUACGCCUAUGGCAUUUUACAUUGUAUAAAUUAGCCUAGCAGCUAGCAAACUUUUCCUCUACUCAUAUGAAGCCAGGGACAACAGCAACAUUUA